rnacentral:rRNA from 1 species
AAUGGCGUAAUGAUGGCCAGGCUGUCUCCACCCGAGACUCAGUGAAAUUGAACUCGCUGUGAAGAUGCAGUGUACCCGCGGCAAGACGGAAAGACCCCGUGAACCUUUACUAUAGCUUGACACUGAACAUUGAGCCUUGAUGUGUAGGAUAGGUGGGAGGCUUUGAAGUGUGGACGCCAGUCUGCAUGGAGCCGGCCUUGAAAUACCACCCUUUAAUGUUUGAUGUUCUAACGUGGACCCGUGAUCCGGGUUGCGGACAGUGUCUGGUGGGUAGUUUGACUGGGGCGGUCUCCUCCUAAAGAGUAACGGAGGAGCACGAAGGUUGGCUAAUCCUGGUCGGACAUCAGGAGGUUAGUGCAAUGGCAUAAGCCAGCUUGACUGCGAGCGUGACGGCGCGAGCAGGUGCGAAAGCAGGUCAUAGUGAUCCGGUGGUUCUGAAUGGAAGGGCCAUCGCUCAACGGAUAAAAGGUACUCCGGGGAUAACAGGCUGAUACCGCCCAAGAGUUCAUAUCGACGGCGGUGUUUGGCACCUCGAUGUCGGCUCAUCACAUCCUGGGGCUGAAGUAGGUCCCAAGGGUAUGGCUGUUCGCCAUUUAAAGUGGUACGCGAGCUGGGUUUAGAACGUCGUGAGACAGUUCGGUCCCUAUCUGCCGUGGGCGCUGGAGAACUGAGGGGGGCUGCUCCUAGUACGAGAGGACCGGAGUGGACGCAUCACUGGUGUUCGGGUUGUCAUGCCAAUGGCACUGCCCGGUAGCUAAAUGCGGAAGAGAUAAGUGCUGAAAGCAUCUAAGCACGAAACUUGCCCCGAGAUGAGUUCUCCCUGAGACUUUAGGUCUCCUGAAGGAACGUUGAAGACGACGACGUUGAUAGGCCGGGUGUGUAAGCGCAGCGAUGCGUUGAGCUAACCGGUACUAAUGAACCGUGAGGCUUAACCUU